CUACGGGAGGCUCCAGUGAGGAAUAUUGCACAAUGGGGGAAACCCUGAUGCAGCAACGCCGCGUGGAGGAUGACGCAUUUCGGUGUGUAAACUCCUUUUAUCAGAGAAGAAAAUGACGGUAUCUGAUGAAUAAGCUCCGGCUAACUCCGUGCCGGCAGCCGCGGUAAUACAGAGGGAGCAAGCGUUAUUCGGAAUCACUGGGCGUAAAGGACGCGUAGGCGGGUUUUUAAGUCAGGUGUGAAAUCCUAUGGCUCAACCAUAGAACUGCACUUGAAACUGGGGACCUAGAGUAUGGAAGGGGCAGGUGGAAUUAGUGGUGUAGGGGUAAAAUCCGUAGAUAUCACUAGGAAUACCGAAAGCGAAGGCGACCUGCUGGGACAUUACUGACGCUGAGGCGUGAAAGCGUGGGGAGCAAACAGGAUUAGAUACCCGUGUAGUC
rnacentral:rRNA from 1 species